AUUAAAACGUGUUCGAAUAUUUAACUAAUAUUAGAGAUUACGAAUGGAUUUAUCCAGUGACCCACAUUUUUUCCUGGAAAUGCGUAUUAUGUUCUUCCAAGAAUCUCGUCUGUCACUUGUCUGGAAUUUGGGAUAGAAUCCCUUUCUGCAGUUUGAAAGGGAGGCUGCAGCCACCCCUUAGCCGCACGAAAAUCAGGACAAAGAGGCAUUUUGCCGUAACGCGAUACAUCACGUCGCGGGGGUGGUGGCUCGAAAAAGAAAAGGAAGAAAUGCAAGAAGAAUUGGAAAGAGGAGGAACAGGAUUUUCUGUGUCACCGAUUUAAUCCCGCUGCGUGAUCCUACUUUCGACGCCGCUCCAACGAAAUAUUUCCUUAAAGGAGAAAGGAAGGCAUUAAGAGUUGUUCGGCGAAAUCGAUGAAGCCCCCGUUUACGAUUCUCCCAUUGGUCACGGAUAUGAAAUAUGGUCGG